GUUAGCAGAGCCACGCUCCAUCUGAGACUCUGUGGAGAAUCCUUCCUUGCCUCUUCCUGGCUUCCGCUGACUGCCAGUCUCAAAAAUGUGGGCAGUGUCUGCUCAACUUUCUAAACAACCACAGAAGCCUACCUUGCAGUGGACACCUGCACAUUAAAUGUGUGGUGUUCAGAAAAUAGACCGAAAUAAAUGUUAGAGGAGCAGGAAGUUUGGAGGUCAUGUUGUUAGGAUUGACACCUGUGGAAGGAAGGGAAAUAAGACUGAGAAGAGAGAAGCGGGCCCAUGGAGCAGUUGCAGCAGAGGCCUCAGCUCACCUACCACAGAGCUGUGGAACCUGGAUGCCCUUCAGAGUUGUCCCGAAUGGAGGUAACAAAUUUGAGCCUUUGUACCUUUGAAUCCACAAGUCACUGGACAUAGAAUGUUUCUGGGGAAGAGCAUGACAUUGGGAAAAAUGAAGCUCUUAUGCAGAGAGCAGAUCCAAGAGAGAGAAUCUCUUGAGCUGUCAGCUUCCAUCAUUCCCAGGAGCUGGGGAAUGAGUGCUUUAGUCAUAAAGA